rnacentral:rRNA from 1 species
CCUACGGGAGGCUGCAGUGAGGAAUAUUGGUCAAUGGGCGCGAGCCUGAACCAGCCAAGUCGCGUGAGGGAAGACGGUCCUAUGGAUUGUAAACCUCUUUUGUCGGGGAGCAAAAGACGCCACGCGUGGCUUUCCGAGAGUACCCGAAGAAAAAGCAUCGGCUAACUCCGUGCCAGCAGCCGCGGUAAUACGGGGGAUGCGAGCGUUAUCCGGAUUUAUUGGGUUUAAAGGGUGCACAGGCGGAAGAUCAAGUCAGCGGUAAAAUUGAGGGGCUCAACCUGUUCGAGCCGUUGAAACUGGUUUUCUUGAGUGAGCGAGAAGUAUGCGGAAUGCGUGGUGUAGCGGUGAAAUGCAUAGAUAUCACGCAGAACUCCGAUUGCGAAGGCAGCAUACCGGCGCUCAACUGACGCUCAUGCACGAAAGUGUGGGUAUCGAACAGGAUUAGAUACCCGGGUAGUC